ensembl:lncRNA
GUCUCGUCCCAGGGGCAGGUCGAGUUGCAGUGAUGGGAAACACCUGUCUGGGUGAAUCUGCAGAUUGGAAUAGGAAGGGGGGGGUACCGGGGAUUGAACUCAGCACCGUGUGCUUGCCAGGCAGGCAGUUUGAAGCACCACUGAGCUACAUGCCGGGCCUCUGAAGGCAGCUUUAAACCUGUCAGGUGGAAGGCAUCAUGUGAAUAAAAGGUAAACAGGAUGAGGAAUGGAACGUAAAGGAAGUUUGUUAAAUAAUUUAUUUAUUUUUUGUACCAGGGAUCGAACUCGGGUCCUUGCGCUUGCACAGCAGGUGGGAAAACCACUGAGCUAAAUCCCUGGCCCUUUCUAAAUAAUUUUAAUGAGUUUGAGAAAUGUAUUGACUUCUGUACACUAAUUAGAACAAGACUUAAGUGAUCUGGUUCUGGGUUUCUUAGUUCUCUGAGGUUAACCUCUGGUUUUCCCGUACAUAGGCGUAGGUACAUUUGUGUUAAGAGAAAAGGAAUUAAUGUUACGAAAAGUAGGAAUGUGUGUGCUAUAGUGGUUUUUGCUUACAUAAUGUGAUUCAUGGAUGGGAAAAAUGGGAUAAAGGAAUAUUUCUUGUCUAUAAUGCCUUAAUUUGUAUUUCCU